rnacentral:rRNA from 1 species
UGGGGAAUAUUGGACAAUGGGCGAAAGCCUGAUCCAGCCAUGCCGCGUGUGUGAAGAAGGUCUUCGGAUUGUAAAGCACUUUAAGUUGGGAGGAAGGGCAUUAACCUAAUACGUUAGUGUUUGACGUUACCGACAGAAUAAGCACCGGCUAACUCUGUGCCAGCAGCCGCGGUAAUACAGAGGGUGCAAGCGUUAAUCUGAAUUACUGGGCGUAAAGCGCGCGUAGGUGGUUUGUUAAGUUGGAUGUGAAAUCCCCGGGCUCAACCUGGGAACUGCAUUCAAAACUGACUGACUAGAGUAUGGUAGAGGGUGGUGGAAUUUCCUGUGUAGCGGUGAAAUGCGUAGAUAUAGGAAGGAACACCAGUGGCGAAGGCGACCACCUGGACUAAUACUGACACUGAGGUGCGAAAGCGUGGGGAGCAAACA